UGGGGGAUUUUGCACAAUGGGCGCAAGCCUGAUGCAGCGACGCCGCGUGAGGGAUGAAGGCCUUCGGGUUGUAAACCUCUUUCGCUGGGUUGAAAGGCCAUGCUUUGGGUGUGGUUGAUUUGAACUGGUAAAGAAGUACCGGCUAACUACGUGCCAGCAGCCGCGGUAAUACGUAGGGUACUAGCGUUGUCCGGAUUUAUUGGGCGUAAAGGGCUUGUAGGUGGUUUGUCGCGUCUGUCGUGAAAGCCUGUGGCUUAACCAUGGGCUUGCGGUGGGUACGGGCAGGCGUGAGUGCGGUAGGGGAGACUGGAAUUCCUGGUGUGGAGGUGGGAUGCGCAGAGAUCAGGAGGAACACCGGUGGCGAAGGCGGGUCUCUGGGCCGUUACUGACACUGAGGAGCGAAAGCGUGGGGAGCGAACAGG
rnacentral:rRNA from 1 species